GAUUUUGGAUUAAAUCCUAAAAAAUGUGUAAUGUUUCUAGGUCCACUUUCGUAAGACAAUGAAGAUCAGAAAAUGGCUCCAAAUUAGGAAAUGAAUCUAUGCUCUCCCUCUUCAUCGUCAUCUUCAAGGAACGGACUAAUCAAAAAAUAGGAGACCUUAGAACCUCCUCAACUUCCUUUUUUGUCAUGAAUUCUACUGCCAAAUUUUGGAGAUUGGUCAAUUUCAAUACUGCAUCUGUUUUAAUUAGAUACUCUGCAGUUAUCCAUCUCAAAGUCCCUAGGUGUCUCAAUUUAUCCAAUCUAAAAUGCCCCAUAGAAGUCUGAUCCACAAACAGAUGUCUUAAGCCUUCUAAUUUUGAUAAUGCAGAAGGUAAUAUAAUCAUAUAAGUAUUUCGUAGAUCAAGGGUAUAUAAACUCCGCAG
rnacentral:misc_RNA from 1 species